rnacentral:rRNA from 1 species
UACGUAGGGUGCGAGCGUUUAAUCGGAAUUACUGGGCGUAAAGCGUGCGCAGGCGGCUUUGCAAGACAGAUGUGAAAUCCCCGGGCUUAACCUGGGAACUGCAUUUGUGACUGCAUGGCUGGAGUGCGGCAGAGGGGGAUGGAAUUCCGCGUGUAGCAGUGAAAUGCGAUAGAGAUCCGGAGGAACACCGAAGGCGAAGGCAGUGUCCUGGCGCGUAACUGACGCUGAGGUGCGAAAGCCAGGGGAGCGGAACGGG